rnacentral:rRNA from 1 species
UCGAGCGGUAGAGAGAAGCUUGCUUCUCUUGAGAGCGGCGGACGGGUGAGUAAUGCCUAGGAAUCUGCCUGGUAGUGGGGGAUAACGUUCGGAAACGGACGCUAAUACCGCAUACGUCCUACGGGAGAAAGCAGGGGACCUUCGGGCCUUGCGCUAUCAGAUGAGCCUAGGUCGGAUUAGCUAGUUGGUGGGGUAAUGGCUCACCAAGGCGACGAUCCGUAACUGGUCUGAGAGGAUGAUCAGUCACACUGGAACUGAGACACGGUCCAGACUCCUACGGGAGGCAGCAGUGGGGAAUAUUGGACAAUGGGCGAAAGCCUGAUCCAGCCAUGCCGCGUGUGUGAAGAAGGUCUUCGGAUUGUAAAGCACUUUAAGUUGGGAGGAAGGGUUGUAGAUUAAUACUCUGCAAUUUUGACGUUACCGACAGAAUAAGCACCGGCUAACUCUGUGCCAGCAGCCGCGGUAAUACAGAGGGUGCAAGCGUUAAUCGGAAUUACUGGGCGUAAAGCGCGCGUAGGUGGUUAGUUAAGUUGGAUGUGAAAUCCCCGGGCUCAACCUGGGAACUGCAUUCAAAACUGACUGACUAGAGUAUGGUAGAGGGUGGUGGAAUUUCCUGUGUAGCGGUGAAAUGCGUAUAUAUAGGAAGGAACACCAGUGGCGAAGGCGACCACCUGGACUGAUACUGACACUGAGGUGCGAAAGCGUGGGGAGCAAACAGGAUUAGAUACCCUGGUAGUCCACGCCGUAAACGAUGUCAACUAGCCGUUGGGAGCCUUGAGCUCUUAGUGGCGCAGCU